GCGUCGUCUUCUAGAGUUUGAUCCUGGCGUCAGGAUGAACGCUAGCGGCAGGCCUAACACAUGCAAGUCGAGGGGUAGGAGCAGCUUGCUGCUUUGAGACCGGCGCACGGGUGCGUAACGCGUAUGCAAUCUACCUUAUACUAAGGGAUAGCCCGGAGAAAUCCGGAUUAAUACCUUAUGGUUUUUACGAAUAGCAUUAUUUAUAGAAUAAAGAUUUAUCGGUAUAAGAUGAGCAUGCGUCCCAUUAGUUAGUUGGUGUGGUAACGGCACACCAAGACGAUGAUGGGUAGGGGUCCUGAGAGGGAGAUCCCCCACACUGGUACUGAGACACGGACCAG
rnacentral:rRNA from 1 species